GCAGUGCGCAGUCACGUGAGCAGGGAGAGGGCAAUGAAACCCAGUAUUAAACGGGCCCCGGGCCUUAUUUAUUAAACACAGUAGUAGAGACAACAACGGGAGUUAACGCCUUUUUAAUCCGCGCUUUUUAACGUGUUGGUGUAAUUUAUUAACACGCCUAAGUUCCUGUCCUGCUCCUCUGACAGCGAGCAGCAGAGCAGACGGAGAAGUGAAGAUCACUCGAGUCGACCACAACCACGCUGCUUACUGCAAGCUGCUGGAGGGCGUGGUCGCCAGUGCUCCGGUCUACUCACCUGAGGCACAUCACGUCAAUCAAGCACACCUGUUUCACAUCCUGCAAUCUACUCACCUUUAAAAGCCAGACCAACCUUCCAGUCCCUGCUAGAUUGCUGUACCACUCAAUACCAGCCUGGACCCCUGAAUCAGAUAUCUCACCAGCACCACAAGACCCAGAGCAGUGGAACCUAGACCACAAACCCUCUGACCAACCAGAACAUCUUUCACCCAAUCCACACCCCUGUUGCACUUGUCUUGAAAAUAAACUUCCUUAAACUGAACUUAA